AUGUCAGCAAUUUUCUGUUUAUCCAUAGAACAGGUACAACAUGGGCAGCAGCCAAGCAGACUCUCCCCCCUCCUCCCCAGCAGUACUGCCCUGCCAAUUUGCUGUAGCCCUGCUCUGGAGGGGUGACCUCUCUGGGAAAGAGGGGAGUUCAGUCUCCACAUACUCCUGCUGCA
ensembl:misc_RNA